GUGUCAGCAGCCGCGGUAAUACGGAGGAUCCAAGCGUUAUCCGGAAUCAUUGGGUUUAAAGGGUCCGUAGGCGGUUUAGUAAGUCAGUGGUGAAAGCCCAUCGCUCAACGGUGGAACGGCCAUUGAUACUGCUAGACUUGAAUUAUUAGGAAGUAACUAGAAUAUGUAGUGUAGCGGUGAAAUGCUUAGAGAUUACAUGGAAUACCAAUUGCGAAGGCAGGUUACUACUAAUGGAUUGACGCUGAUGGACGAAAGCGUGGGUAGCGAACAGGAUUAGAAACCCCCGUAGUCC
rnacentral:rRNA from 1 species